rnacentral:tRNA from 1 species
GGGACUGUAGCUCAGUAGUGGGAGUACUUGCCUUGUAUGCAGAGGGCCUUGGGUUCAAUUCCCAUUCCUG